GACGAACGCUGGCGGCGUGCCUAACACAUGCAAGUCGAACGAAGUGGCGAACGGGUGAGUAAUACGUGGGUAACCUGCCCUCACUUUUGGGAUAAGUCUUGGUAACGGGGUCUAAUACCGAAUAAAGGGGGAUGGGCUCGCGGCGUAUCAGCCUGUUGGUGGGGUGAUGGCCUACCAAGGCGGUGACGGGUAGCCGGCCCGGGCAGGUGACCGGCCACAGUGAGAGUGAUGUACGGCCCAGACUCCUACUGGAGGCAGCAGUGGGGGAUGUUGCACAAUGUGCGAAAGCCUGAUGCAGCGACGCCGCGUGGGGGAUGAAGGCUUUCGGGUUGUAAACCUCGUUCGCUAUCGAAAGGGUAGGUAAAGAGAAAGCGCCGGCUAACUACGUGCCAGCAGCCGCGGUAAUUC
rnacentral:rRNA from 1 species